rnacentral:rRNA from 1 species
GAUGAACGCUGGCGGCGUGCCUAAUACAUGCAAGUCGAGCGAACAGACGAGGAGCUUGCUCCUCUGACGUUAGCGGCGGACGGGUGAGUAACACGUGGAUAACCUACCUAUAAGACUGGGAUAACUUCGGGAAACCGGAGCUAAUACCGUAUAAUAUAUUGAACCGCAUGGUUCAAUAGUGAAAGACGGUUUUGCUGUCACUUAUAGAUGGAUCUGGGCCGCAUUAGCUAGUUGGUAAGUUAACGGCUUACCAAGGCAACGAUGCGUAGCCGACCUGAGAGGGUGAUCGGCCACACUGGAACUGGAACACGGUCAAGACUCCUACGGGAGGGCGCAGUAGGGAAUCUUCCGCAAUGGGCGAAAACCUGACGGAGCAACGCCGCGUGAGUGACGAAGGUCUUCGGAUCGUAAAACUCUGUUAUUAGGGAAGAACAAAUGUGUAAGUAACUAUGCACGUCUUGACGGUAACUAAUCAGAAAGCAACGGCUAACUACGUG